GUGCUCACUUUGGUAGCAUGUAUACUAAAAUUGGAACAAUGCUGAGAAGAUUAUCAUGGCCCUUGCACAAGGAUGACAUGUAAAUUCAUGUACCGUACCAUUUUUUU
rnacentral:snRNA from 1 species